GAUUUAUACAGAAGAGGUAAGAGACAGGCUCGAUGACCCUCUGGCAACCAUUCGAUUCGUUGAAAAGGUGCCAAUUCCUGCCAAAUGGGAAUAUUACCAUUUGGAACUAUAAAUU
rnacentral:ncRNA from 2 species